ACACAAUAUGAGUCAUGAAAACCAAGUUUUCUGUCUAGAUAACAGCUGUUACGGCAUUACCCUCUCAACACAAAAAUACCAGGUUUAUUUUGCUGUCAGCUGUCGAUUACAUCGUCUCACUGGAUACGUCACGAUAAUUCAUUAUUUAUGAUAAAUCAACGAAGAACGAAAUGACAAUGAAUGGUAGGACUCAAGGAGUCAUCAGAGAUAAAGAACAAUUGGUAUUGAUGACUGACUUAUUUGACUAACUACCAACAGAUUUCAGGGUUUUUUCUGUUUCUGGUUAGAGGAAUGGUUAUGUGAGCAAAGAAAAAUAACGAGGUGUCGUAUUCAAGUCCAACUUGUCUGAGUUCAAGUCAUGUCUGAUUCUACAUGGCUCUGUUCUAAAGCAUGUCCGAGUUCAAAUUCGAGUUUCACCUCUAGUUCAGUCAGAAACCACGGAUAUAUCAUUUAUUAGUCCCUAUCAUUCUGGACGGUAAAAAGAGGACAUGCAUAAUUAUUUUCUUGAAAUAGCUCAAUUAGACGUUAAGGAAAGUAUUGGAAACCAGGCAAACUUUAAUUAUUUACAAAAUAUCUCUUCUAAAGUAAGAUCUAAACUCGCAAACAACUCUGGACCCAAAGACUAAAUGACUGGAGUUUUAAUAUCAUAUAGUUUAAAGUUCAAGUCAUAUCCGAGGUACCAGGCCAAACUCAAGUAAAAGUAUUCAUAGCACCGAGUGCAUGUCCAUUAAAAAGGACUCGAAUACUACAUCUAAUCUACAAUCUGAUAAAGAUUUUGAUUGACGAUAGGGAAAACGUUAUCUGACACUCGAUAAGGCUUCUAUUGAAAUGUUAAUUGACUUUGUUUAAUAUACUUGAUAGUUGAUAUUCAUUUACUAAAAAGCAAAAUAUUUUUUUUUACUAUUUAUGA
rnacentral:lncRNA from 1 species